rnacentral:lncRNA from 1 species
GCUGAGGUCCAAUUGUAUACUUGACUUGAACGAACCUGCUAAGAUCGAGGAACAUUCAGAUUAUGAGCUUAAUCAGUUCCUGAGUCCAGCCCAAACAAGGAGUGAAAGAGCAGAAUCUCAAGCGCAAGACCCGGAUAUCUCUGCAAAAAGCCAAGUUGGUGAGAAAUGUAUCUUGAUGGUACAUAUUAAUGUUUUCUUGUAACGUUUUCCUGAUGUAAUGAAAGCUAUACCGGUCCGAUCAAUGAUCUUUGAGAAUUGAUUAGCCACUUUCUUUUGUGCAGAGAACGAAAUCGACUUGAAUAUGUCUCCCCUUUCAACCGAACAAGUGACAACUUUCAA